CGCGGCCUAUCAGCUUGUUGGUGGGGUAAUGGCCUACCAAGGCUUUGACGGGUAGCCGGCCUGAGAGGGUGACCGGCCACACUGGGACUGAGACACGGCCCAGACUCCUACGGGAGGCAGCAGUGGGGAAUAUUGGACAAUGGGCGGAAGCCUGAUCCAGCAACGCCGCGUGAGGGAUGACGGCCUUCGGGUUGUAAACCUCUUUCAGCACAGACGAAGCGCCCGUUGUGGGUGGUGACGGUAUGUGCAGAAGAAGCACCGGCCAACUACGUGCCAGCAGCCGCGGUAAUACGUAGGGUGCGAGCGUUGUCCGGAAUUAUUGGGCGUAAAGGGCUCGUAGGCGGUUUGUCGCGUCGGGAGUGAAAUCCACUGGCUUAACUGGUGGCUUGCUUUCGAUACGGGCAGACUGGAGGUAUGCAGGGGAGAACGGAAUUCCUGGUGUAGCGGUGAAAUGCGCAGAUAUCAGGAGGAACACCGGUGGCGAAGGCGGUUCUCUGGGCAUGUCCUGACGCUGAGGAGCGAAAGUGUGGGGAGCGAACAGGAUUAGAUACCCUGGUAGUCCACACCGUAAACGUUGGGCGCUAGGUGUGGGAUCCAUUCCACGGGUUCCGUGCCGCAGCUAACGCAUUAAGCGCCCCGCCUGGGGAGUACGG
rnacentral:rRNA from 1 species